rnacentral:rRNA from 1 species
UACGGGGGGGGGCAAGCGUUGUUCGGAAUUACUGGGCGUAAAGGGCUCGUAGGUGGCCAACUAAGUCAGACGUGAAAUCCCUCAGCUUAACUGGGGAACUGCGUCUGAUACUGGAUGGCUUGAGUUUGGGAGAGGGAUGCGGAAUUCCCGGUGUAGCGGUGAAAUGUGUAGAGAUCGGGAGGAACACCGGUGGCGAAGGCGGGUCUCUGGGCAAUUCCUGACGCUGAGGCGCGAAAGCGUGGGGAGCAAACGGG